AACUCCAUCCACGACGUCCCUGGAGCCUGGUCUCAGGUAAUGAAUCAUCUCACAAGAGAAGACAAUUCCAUGAAGUCUGUGCCUCUCAAUUAAGACCUAGAACAUGAGACAGGAAAAAAAUGGGACCAAUGCAAGAAGAGAGGCCUAUGCCACCUUGAUGUCAAGAGAAGCUGGGAUUCUGUAUAAUGGAAAUUGAGGCAGAAGUAAGAUUUUUUACUUAAUACAAAAUGUUGUAUUAGUUCAGGAUUCUUACUAAUUGUUCAGUGGGAGAACACUAUGAAACUUGUUCAUCGAUAUGAGAGAAAUUAUAGUCUCUACUCUUCUCAAAGCCCAGUUAAGAUACCUCCAGGGAAUGUGGCUUAAGCUACGUUAAAGGAAGGUUUGUCAAAUAUGUAAAUAAAUUGCAGAAAGGAGGCUACUGUAAUCACCAGCAUGCAUAUCAGAACUUUUAAAAUGGAACCAGUAUUACUUUGAAAUUUCUACUGUACCAAGAGGACGAAUCCCCAGCAGAGCUUCAUGAUCGGUUUUGAUGGAAUGUGAAAAUCCUCAUCCAGUGGAGUCUAAAGCAAGAGUUUCAAUCCGCAGGGUCAAUGUUUGAGUUGAAUAUUAGCAUAUAGUAGUAUAUGUAGCGACUUUGUCUCUAUCUAUCUGUCUAUCUAACGGAUUUUAUGACAAAGUCUUAACAAUUCUCUAAUUGUCUGAAUUAAAGUUUGAGAUAAAGAAAAGAGGGAAAGCAGGAGAAAAUAAGUUAAAUCUACAUUUCUAAGAACUCACCUUAUAGUAUGUGAUUCAUUUUAACAGUAAAACUCAUCUGAGUUUUUGCCCCAAUUUGUCACUUUCCACAUGCUGUGUACAGGUGCCAAGUUUGCCGGAUACCACUCAAAGAACAGACACAUGGUGUUAAGAAAGAGUGGUCCCUUUCUAUUCAAGGACCAAACUAGUGGAAGUGCAGGGAAUGGAAAUGAAGAUGGGUAGGAACUUAACUUGAUUUAUGUCUCAGAAGAUGGAAUUGCUCUUGGGAUUUUGGGUUCCCUUGAUGAGCACAAAACAACAGGAAGAGGCCAAUGAAAAGUUCUUCAUGAGCAUGCAUGCAUUUCCUUAGUGUUUCUUAUUUGAACCCCCCUGAGAAGAGCCCAGUGUCUUUCUGGAACCAAUAUUUAUACAUACGAAGAAAGAAGGAGGACUGACUUAUCCUUUUCCCUCACCAGUGAUUGAGAGACACUCAUAACUGCUCGCUCUCUACUCUAAAUUUUCAAUGAUCCAUAAUGGUCCUGGAAAAUUUGUUGGCGCUCUCCAGCUCAGCCUCACCAUCUCAUUCACCAUUUUUGUAUGGUGGUUCAAAAGAUCCAAAUUCCCAAAGUUUUUCUGUUGUUUACAGUUUCAGGGUGGCUUUUCCCCAGAGAUCUACCUACCUAACGUAAUUAUAUCCCAAUUGUAUAAGUAAUCAUUACAUAUUAUUGCUGUUAUCAUUUUCAUUGCUUUUGCAAGCCUGAAUAAACACUUUUGAUAUUUCAUGUGUACAUCUCCUUUCGAAGAUUAACUUUUUAGAAUCUUUAUUCAUUGCUUUUUUCGUGGUAAUAGUCUUUAUCUUAUUGAUUUAUCUGAAGUUUUACAAAUUGAAAGCAUUAAUUUGUUUUUCACUGUAAGGUAAAAUGUACUUUCAAA
rnacentral:lncRNA from 10 species